CCAAGAUGGCCGCCAGCAGGGGACUUAGUUUAGCAUAGGACCCUAUGGGAAAUGCAUACAAAUGACUUCUUUUAGAGAACCACUGAAUGGAAUGAAACCAAACAUGGCAUGAAGGUUCCUUAUGAGGUGCUGACCAAGUGUUGUUACUUUGUAGCCGAUCCAUCAUCCAAGAUGGCUGCCAGCGGGGGACUUAGUUUAACAUAGGACCCUAUGGGAAAUGCAUACAAAUGACUUCUUCUAGAGAACCACUGAAUGGAAUGAAACCA
rnacentral:lncRNA from 1 species